GUCCUUUUGUAUUUAUUUAAGGUCUAGUCUGCCCACUGAAUUUAAAUUUUAAAUGGCCGCAGUAUUUUGACUGUGCAAAGGUAGCAUAAUCAUUAGUUUUUUAAUUAAAAGCUUGUAUGAAAGGCUGGACGAGGUAAAAUCUGUCUCUAUUUAAAUUAUAAUAGAAUUUAACUUUUAAGUUAAAAGGCUUAAAUGUUAUUAAAAGACGAGAAGACCCUAUAGAUCUUUAUAAUUUAUUAAUUAAAAUUAAUUUAGAAUUAUUUAUAUUUUAUUUAAUUAAAUUAUUUUAUUGGGGUAAUAUAAAGAUUGAAUUAAUUCUUUUUUAUAAUAAACAUUAAUUUAUGAAUAUUAGAUGAUCCAGUUUUACUGAUUAUAAGAUUAAGUUACCUUAGGGAUAACAGCGUAAUUUUUUUAGAGAGUUCAUAUCGAUAAAAAAGUUUGCGACCUCGAUGUUGGAUUAAAGAUUAUUUUAGGUGUAGAAGCUUAAUAAUUUUGGUCUGUUCGACCAUUAAAUCUUUAC
rnacentral:rRNA from 1 species